rnacentral:rRNA from 1 species
GACGAACGCUGGCGGCGUGCUUAACACAUGCAAGUCGAACGAAGAGCGAUGGAAGCUUGCUUCUAUCAAUCUUAGUGGCGAACGGGUGAGUAACGCGUAAUCAACCUGCCCUUCAGAGGGGGACAACAGUUGGAAACGACUGCUAAUACCGCAUACGAUCUAACCUCGGCAUCGAGGAUAGAUGAAAGGUGGCCUCUACAUGUAAGCUAUCACUGAAGGAGGGGAUUGCGUCGGAUUAGCUAGGUGGAGGGGUAACGGCCCACCAAGGCGACGGUCAGUAGCUGGUCGCAGAGGAUGAGCAGCCACACGGGAAGUGAGACACGGUCGAGACUCGUACGGGAGGCAGCAGUGGGGAAUAUUGGACAAUGGGCGGAAGCAUGAGCCAGCAAUACAGCGUGGGUGAAGAAGGACUGCGGGUUGGAAAACGCUUGGGUUGGGAAAGAAAAGCAGCAGGUUAAUACCCAGAUGUGCUGACGGUACCAAAAGAAUAAGCACCGGCUAACUUCGUG